GACGAACGCUGGCGGCGUGCUUAACACAUGCAAGUCGAACGGAAAGGCCCUGCUUUUGUGGGGUGCUCGAGUGGCGAACGGGUGAGUAACACGUGAGUAACCUGCCCUUGACUUUGGGAUAACUUCAGGAAACUGGGGCUAAUACCGGAUAGGAGCUCCUGCUGCAUGGUGGGGGUUGGAAAGUUUCGGCGGUUGUGGAUGGACUCGCGGCUUAUCAGCUUGUUGGUUGGGUAGUGGCUUACCAACGCUGUGACGGGUAGCCGGCCUGAGAGGGUGACCGGCGACAUUGGGACUGAGGGACGGAGCAGACGGCAACGGUAGGCAGCGGUGGGGAGCAUGGCACAGUGAGAGGAAGCCGGAUGCAGAGACGCCGCGGGCGGGAUGACGGCUUGCGGGGUGAGAACAGCAUUCGGCUGUGACGCAGCGGGAGUGACGGUACUGGGUAAAGAAGCACCGGCUAACUACGUG
rnacentral:rRNA from 1 species